UGCCAGCCGCCGCGGUAAUACGAAGGGGACUAGCGUUGUUCGGAAUCACUGGGCGUAAAGCGUAUGUAGGCGGAUCAAAAAGUUAGAUGUGAAAUCCUGGGCUCAACCCAGGAACUGCAUUUAAAACUAGUGAUCUAGAAUUUGGUAGGGGUUAGUAGAAUUUCCAGUGUAGAGGUGAAAUUCGUAGAUAUUGGAAAGAAUGCCAGUGGCGAAGGCGACUAACUGGGCCAUUUUUGACGCUGAGAUACGAAAGCGUGGGUAGCAAACAGGAUUAGAUA
rnacentral:rRNA from 1 species